UACGUAGGGGGCAAGCGUUGUCCGGAAUCAUUGGGCGUAAAGCGCGUGUAGGCAGUUCGGUAAGUCUGCUGUGAAAGUCCAGGGCUCAACCCUGGGAUGCCGGUGGAUACUGUCGGACUAGAGUACGGAAGAGGCGAGUGGAAUUCCCGGUGUAGCGGUGAAAUGCGCAGAUAUCGGGAAGAACACCCGUGGCUAAGGCGGCUCUCUAGUACGGUACUGACGCUGAGACGCGAAAGCGUGGGGAGCGAACAGG
rnacentral:rRNA from 1 species